rnacentral:misc_RNA from 1 species
GAUGAAGAACGCAGCGAAAUGCGAUAAGUAAUGUGAAUUGCAGAAUUCAGUGAAUCAUCGAAUCUUUGAACGCACAUUGCGCCCGCCAGUAUUCUGGCGGGCAUGCCUGUCCGAGCGUCAUUUCAACCCUCGAACCCCUCCGGGGGGUCGGCGUUGGGGACCUCGGGACCCCCUAAGACGGGAUCCCGGCCCCGAAAUACAGUGGCGGUCUCGCCGCAGCCUCUCCUGUGCAGUAGUUUGCACAACUCGCACCGGGAGCGCGGCGCGUCCACGUCCGUAAAACACCCAACUUCUGAAAUGUUGACCUCGGAUCAGGUAGGAAUACCCGCUGAACUUAAGCAUAUCAAUAAGCGGAGGA